rnacentral:rRNA from 1 species
UACGUAGGGUGCAAGCGUUAUCCGGAAUUAUUGGGCGUAAAGAGCUCGUAGGCGGUUUGUCGCGUCUGCUGUGAAAACUGGAGGCUCAACCUCCAGCCUGCAGUGGGUACGGGCAGACUAGAGUGCGGUAGGGGAGAUUGGAAUUCCUGGUGUAGCGGUGGAAUGCGCAGAUAUCAGGAGGAACACCGGUGGCGAAGGCGGGUCUCUGGGCCGAUACUGACACUGAGGAGCGAAAGCGUGGGGAGCGAACAGG